CGUGUGCGUUUUGUUUUUAAGUUUUUGUGUGCAUGGCAACUCUGCUUGGCACUUGUUCUGUCCCCUUUGGUUUUUAAAUUUGUGGUCUUGCUUCCGCAAUACUUACUUAAAUUGAGGCUUACAAAGAAUGGCUAGAUAAAUAAACAGGACAAGAAAGGAAAAUUAGAAAAAUAGAAGUUCAUUUGAGAUCACUGAAGCACUAUAUAUUCCCCUUGUUUUUUAAGUUCUCAUUUGUACUAGUGUAUUCAAUUACAACUAGCUAUCCAACUUCUGGAGAGAUUUGAGCUUCUUUCUUUUAUGCCAAAUAAAGGUGAGCUUGAAAG
rnacentral:lncRNA from 1 species